UAUAGCAGUUUAGUAAUAGAAAUAUCAUAGACGAGUUUAUUAUUGUUGUGGAAAUAUGCAGUGACGUCAUUCAUAUAUUGACGUCAUUCAAAUUCAAAAAAUGUUAUGCGAGUUAUAGGAUGCAACAUUUUAGAUUACAUUUACCCCAUGAAACAAAUUAACAGUUCUAUAUUGAACAGUGUUUGUUUUUUUUAGUUUGAAAAUUGUUUAUUUUUGAAAAACGCAAAGAAAACGUUAAGAUAAAUUUAAAACACAAAAGAAGAAAAAUAUGCUGUGCGUUAGAUAAAACAUACCGCAAAUAAAGCUGAAGUAUUUUAUAUUUGGUGUGUAUGGAGAUACAACGACGUCGUCACAUUGUCCUGUGGUCGACCGUAGAGGCUUAGUAUGACGUAGUUUGGCUGCCAUGAUCCUAGACUGGUUCCGUUGAUAUUAAAACAACCAAGAGUAACGCAUAAUCUCGAGGAUUCACAUUGGGCACGAGAACCAGGCUACUAUGAUCAUGGGAUCUAGAAUUUCAGUAUGUAGAAGUAAACGUAAAACUGCAUGUGUUAUAGAAAAGUAUGAAGUUGUUCCAGAAGUAGAAAACCAGUACUUGGCGCAAGAGGAAGUACGGAGAAGAUCCCUGGAUUCAGAGGGUGAUGCGAGAAGUUUGACAAGACUUUACGACAUCGGUGAAAACUUGAGUAGAAUUGGACAAAACAAAGUCUACUCUGGAGUCAGAAUAAGUGACGGCGCCCCGAUUGCAGUUAAAAAGUUGUUGAAAAAGAAAGUUGUAGCAUGGGGUGAGUUGACUGGGAAACCCGUACCUUUGGAAAUUUGUCUGCUGGACAAACUUAAACAUAUAACGGGAGUUAUUAAAAUGUUGGAUUAUUUUGAAGAUUACGACUGCUUCAACGUGGUAAUGGAACGGCCCGACCCUGUGGCCGAUUUGGACUGUGUCAUUAAUCAACGCGGCCUGAUGGACGAACCGACGGCGAGGAGAUUGUUUCGACAGAUUGUGAAUGUUGUUAUAAAUAUUAUGACGGCUGGUGUUGUGCACAGAUGCAUUAUUGCAAAAAAUAUUCUUGUUGACCAAGCAGGAUUUAUCAGACUUAUAAACUUCGGGUAUGGCGCUUUUCUAAAGAAUAAUGUCUUCGAUACCCUCCCUGGCGACGCACUGUACCAUCCGCCCGAAUGGAUCCAGCACAAGAAGUACCACCCCCGCUCGACAACGGUGUGGACCCUGGGUAUCAUCCUGUACUUCAUGAUGCACGCCACGAUGCCCUUUCGGACAAGCGACAGUAUUCUGAACGAUAAACCCUGGUUGCUAAGCAACUUAUCUCCAGAACUAAAAAUCCUAAUAAACAGAUGCUUGUCGAAGGGUACUUUGGAACGGAUCAAAUUAGAACAAAUACCCAGAAACUAUUGGAUGAAUAUUGGCUAUGACAGCAGCUGCAGAGAUGAAAUAUCCAGGCACUGUUCGAGGGUAUCAUUCAAUGAGUACGUGGACGUGGAAGACAUGGGGUAGAGAAGUCCGCCCAAGGACCCGGGUGGUAGGGCGCUGACUUUCCACAAACUGAAUUGCACACAGACAUAAUGGACAGAAUACUAGUGUUCAAACCCAAACUACCGAGACAUUUGGCAGCUAUAGGAAAUGAGGGAGCGGGGUGGCCAUGUUUGUAGGUUUCCUCUACACUAAAGCCAUGUUAAAAUGCUGUGAUAUUAGCAGUGUAUUAAGGCAAUACAACUAAUUAUUAUUAUAAAAAGAAAGAAGUACAUUAAAAGGGACUGACCUGAGUUUCCUGUCACUGUGACAUGUUACCGACUAACAGAUUCUUAUUAAUGACUAAACUUACAUAUUGAAGAUGUUUUAUUCUUUAGAAUAUCACUGUCUGUACAAGCAAGGUGUUUGGUGUCGUCCUACUUUUCGUGGCCAUCUUGGAUUUGAGGUCAACUUCAAGGUGACCCACAAGCAGGUUUUAAAAGGCAUAGUUCACGAUGACGAACCAUUGAGGAAACAUUGACAGGAAAAAGUGUCAUUUUUCCUUCGUCUGUAAUGUUUGUAGUAGCACAAACUAGAUUUUACCUUAAAAUCAGUUUGUACGUACAGAACAAAUAUAAUUAGGGGUGGGGGUGUGAACAAUAUCUGCUGCAGACAUUGGCACACGACUGCAAACACAUUACAUAUGCAGACAUUGGUAUUCUAAGCAAGAAAAUAAAUUUAAUAACAUUCAGCGAUGUCAGUUACAGUGACAUGAAAUGAUGUCAAUUUCAUAAACGGCGACUGUUGCAAGCUUGUAGCUGAAACAGCGACUCGUGACGUCAGAAAUGCGCCAUAACAGGUUCCAUGGUAUUGUUAUAACCCAGGCUAUGGAAAUACUUCAUGUACAAUGUAUCUAACCGUUUAAUGUAGACCAUAUGGGUAAUAAAAACAACUACCAGUAUAUACGAAGUACAUUAAUCUUCUUAUUUGGCAUUUAAAAUAAAACAAUUUUACACCAGCAUGGCUGGUGGGUUUUAAAAUACUGCACUCAUCGACUUAGUCGUGGAUGUUUUGUCUAACUGUGAUGUGUUUUAAAUAUAUUAACUCAGUACUCUCAAUAAUGAUAUACAAUCAUGUUAAUUUUACACUUUUUAAGUAAUAUUAUUUAAAAACCAACCUCUCAUCUGAUCUUGUUUUGUUGUUUCUAUUGUAUUAUAUUAUUGUUAUUAUUUAACAUGCACGCCUGUAUGCGAGUGUGCAUGUACGGGUACGCAUAUUUGUGUGCACGUGUGCCUUUGACUGUGUACACUGUGUGUAUGCGUGUGUUUAUAAAGGGUACAUGUGAUCAUGCACGUGUGUUCACAAAAGGUAAAUACGUGCUUGUUCACACGAAUGCAUAUUUGCAUGGAUUAUACUAUGUACAGGUGCGUGUGCAGGAAACUGUGUUGCGGGGAGGGGGUGAGCGACGUUUUUAGAGGGAAUCGGGUCAUGCUAAAAAAAGAGGAAAUUUUUUCUUGGAGCUGAAGAGGGAUGGGGUCGUUAAACACAAAUUCCCUCUGCACACGCACCUGAUGUCUGUCUGUAUACAUAAGUUAUAAUGUGAAUACACAAAUUAAUGUUAGCGUUGCUGACAUUGCACGUAUACUUUUUAAUAAAAUGGUACACUGUU
rnacentral:misc_RNA from 1 species